AGUGAUCUGCAAAGUGGGAAACUAGCUCUCUUGUUUUAAGCAGCCUUUCCUUCGUAGAUUCCCUGUCAACUGAAUAGCAGGUUCUGGGAGACACUAUGGCAGAUUCUGAUUUCAGCUUCUCCAGUGGACCUGGCCCAAUAAAUAAGAAACCAAGCUACAGGAUCUUUCGUUAAUUCACUGGGAAAAUUACUCUUUGGUGUCAUGUUGGCGGUCAUGAGGAUCUCGGACUGUGUGUGUCUUUCUCCAAACCAGCCAGUAGGCCUUACCAGACCAAAGAGAAAACCACUGAAAAUGUGUCUGUGGAAAAUAAAAGAUGCUCCCAAAGAAGCCUUCAUAAGCUCAGUAGAGGAAGUGAAAAGCUCAACUGAAAUCAAGUUUGCAGCAAGGGCAAAUCUGAUGGGAAAAUAUCUGAAACAGAACAACAUAGACCAGGCUUUCGGCAGUAGUGAUUGUCCCAGUGCAGAAGAAAUUGAGGAGUGAAGCGUAAAUGGUGGAAGUCCUAGUACUAAGAAAUUAGCAGAUUUACCUGAAGAUAAGGAAUGGAAAUGUGAGGAAAGUGAUGGAGAAUCAUCCAGUUUUCCUGGCAGCGUAAAGGAGAGUGAUGAUAAAGAACAAUGUGGCUCAGAUGAAAUGAAGAGCAACGACAAAGAAAAAUCUGGUUUAUAUGAAAAAGAGGGAAAUGAUAAAGAAGUAUCAACCUCACAUGAUGACAAAAACAUCAGCGAGAAAACUUGUUCACCACAAAUGGAUACACCAGAUCCUGCUUAUGGCCGGUGAUCCUAAACUCUGCUGAUAUUGAUUAUACAAUUUUGAAUAGGCCAGGCAAAUCAAGGAUAUGAUGUUUUCAGUAAAUGAGCAGAAGAGACAUGUCUCAAAGUCACACUGCGAAAGACUGCGAAAGACUGUUGAGAAACUGAAUUGGCAUUGGCUAGUUUGAGUUCAGGCUCAAGCUGAAUAAAUGCAUAGAGGCAGAAAACCAGUACAUUAUUAAUGUAGAAACCCAGCAUUGCAGGAACGUGCUCAAACGUCUGAUCUCAAUUAGCCUCCUCCUUGAGUCAGAUGUAGCAUAAUCUUCUUUAGAUUCAGUAUCUCUCUUUGGAGUACUUUUAAGUAUAUAUGUCCAGUUUUAAGCAUCAAAUAUCAGGUGGAAGAUCCUCAUGGACAAUGUUACAAAUCUGACCAUGAAGCUGCUCAGUAACACUCACUGUGAGAGGCGCUUUGACAGCAAGGUACCAGUGAGGUACCAAGUGACUGAGAUUUACAGCGCCCUGAUGGAACUGGUGCAGACAAGUAAAGCCAAGUCUGGAAUAUGAUACAAGGUGCAAAGCCUGGCAAACUAGAUCAUUGACUUUAAAUUUCUGAUCUCAAUUGUGGCUUGGCACCAUAUCCUGUUCCAAGUAAACCUUGUAAGCAAGGCAUUACAAACUCAGUCAAUGGACAUUGUGACUGCUACCACUUUGAUGAGAAGCUGCCUUGAUUUAAUUGUGGCCUGCAGAGACAAUGGAUUUGAAAAAUGCCACCAGCGCUGCUGAAGAAAUGGUGGAAAACUUAGGAGUUGAGCCUGUUUUCAAGGAAAUUUGUAUUCAGCAGAAGAAGAGAUAGUUUGGUUAUGGCGGCAGAGACGAGGUGCUGGGAAGCUCAGAAGAAAAAUGCAAGAGAAAUCCAUCGAAGAAAGGUUUGGACAAAUAAAGCAGCACAAAAAGACCUGUUUUUUUUUUGGUAUGAUCUUAGUAAGCUGUUGGCGGACAGGAAAACACUCUUGAACAAGUGUUCGGAUCUUCAUUGGACGCUGACACAUGGGGAAUAUUUGGACGUCAAUGAUAAAGACUUUUAUGUCAAAUUGGAUAACAUCCGUCACAUUUUGCAGAGCUGAAGAACACUUUUCCUAAUGGGUGGAUAGCGUUAGGAUUCUGCUCAAGUUGGCAGUCAGAGUUACGAAUGGUGAGCGCAGCUUUUUGAAGCUCAAGCUCAUUAAAACAUAUAUUCAAUCAAUGAUGUCCAACAAGAGACUGACAUUGCAUGCUAUUUUAUCACCUGAAAAUGCCAUUGGCUACUCUCUGAUGCUGUGCUUCAGUUCGAGAGGACAAAAGUGAGAAAAGCGACCUUUUGAACUAAAGGAUGAAGGUUAACGUUGGCUGUCUCUACUGUAACACUAUUUAAUGCUGAUCCACCAAAUGUUGGUGCACAGUUCAAUUUCUUGAUGUUAGGACAUUUCAGUUAUUCUUAAAAUUAAUAAGUUUCUAUCAGCUUAGAGGAAAUGAAUUAAUUUUUAUUUGCUCAUAUAUGGCAUGAAUAUCUACAGAUUUACAGAUCAUAGUGUGCAAAUUUAUCAUCUUAUAUGACAGGGAGAGAUCAUGCACGCAAAUCAGGCAUCAAAGUCAUGAAAUGGGCUACAAAUGCAACAAAAAUAAAGUAUUCAAAAGUUUAACAAAUGGGGUGGUGCUGAAGACGCUCCUU